CGCAUACGCACAGUACACAGAAGGCCUUGCAAACACCAGGUGCAGGAUGAAGGACAAUGAUGAUCAAGCUUGUCGCGAUUUUCUAAACCCGUGUUCAGGGACACUGAGGGGUUUCAUUGACCGGGUCUGGACUGGAGCAAUAUUUACAGAGGUCCCAGAAACUACACAGCCCUAACGCCCUUCCUUUGGACAACAUCGGUGGCGUGGAGAGGGGAGACUUACAGCUUGGGCAACUGCCGGUCUUCCAUAAGAAAAAUACCUUGCCCAGGCUUGCGCCCUGGAAACUUCCCAAGGUGCAAAUCCAUGUCUAUGGAGACUAACGGAGGCCAACUACACUACCCAGCUGGGGACUGACGGAUGUCAUAUAUUUUGUUAUUAUCCACUCAAAUACGCUGAACUUAAACUUGGGUUCAGAUCAGUUUCAUCGCUUCAAGAUUGUAUGUUUACUGAUUUCUAAUAAAGGAUCGAAUACUUAUCACUGACAUUUGUAACAAUCAUUAUUGGAUUUGAGGGCACGUCAUGUAAGUAGAACAAAUUUGUGGGGGGUCGCCAGCAAUGGCAAAUUAGCUUGGUUACAUUUCACCGCUACAUUCUCAACAGAUGUUUCUCAACCUGCCGAUCAUUUGAUUAUUCUGAGAUGCUGAGUAUUUUGCUUCAGUUUUCACCAGUGAAAAGGACCCUGGCAAUUGUGGGGAUGACUUACAGCAGACUGAAACACAUGAGUGUAUGGACUUUAAGAACGAGCAUGCACUGGAUCCUUUGAGAGGUUUUAAGUUAGAUAAGUCGCUGGGACUGAACGAGAUAAUCCCAUGCUACUGUAUGAAUCGAGGGAGGAGAUUGCUAAUCCCCUGACGACGAUCUUCACAUCAUCAAUGAGGUGGGGAGGUGUGCCAGAGGAUUGGAAGUUUGCAAAUGUUGUUCGCUUGUUUAAGAAAGGGAGUAGAUAACUGAGAAAAUUAUAGACCAGUAAGCAUUUGGAGAGACAUAAUCUGAUUAGGGGUAGUCAGCACGGCUUUGUCGAAGGCAGGUCACACCUUAUGAUCCUGAUUGAAUUUUUUGAAAUGUACCAAAACACACUGAUGAAGGUAGAGCAGUGGAAGUACUGUCUAUGCAUUUCAGUAAGAGUUUAGCUAAGGUUCCCCAUGGAAAGCUCAUUUAGAAAAUAAUGAGGGAUGGGAUCCAAGGAGACCUUGCUUUGUGGAUCCAGAAUUGGCAUGCCGACAGAAGACAAAGGGCGGUUGUAGAUAUUUUGUAUUCUGCGUGGAUGAUGAUGACCGAUAGUGUUCCGUUGGGUCUGUUCUGUGACCCCUUCUCUUUGUGAUUUUUACAACUGACCCGGAUGAGGAAGUUGAAGGAUGGGUUAGUAAGUUUGCUGAAGACACAAAAGUUGGGAGUGUUGUGGAUCGUCUGCAGGGUUGUCAGAUGUUACAGGUCAACAUCGAUAGGAUACAGAACUGGGCAGAGAAGUGGCAGAAGAAUUUCAAUACAGAUAAGCGUGAAGUGGUUCUUUUCGGUCAAAUUUCAAGAUAAUAUAAUAUUAAUGGUAAUACUCCUGUCAAUUUGGAGGAUCAGUGAGAUCUUGGGGUUCGUGACGAUUGAACACUCAAAGCUGCUGCACACGUUGACAGUGUUGAUAAGAAAGCAUAUUGUGUUGACAUUUAUCAACCAUGGAAUUGAGUUCAAGGGCAUGAGGUAAUGUUACAGAAAUAUAAGACCUUGAUUAGACCCCACUUGGGAGUACUGUGUUCAGUUCUGGUCACCUCACCACAGGAAACGAUAGAGGGAGCACAGAGGAAAUUUACAAGGACUUGCUUUGGAUCCAGAAUAACAAUUAUUUUGUUCUCCUUUACAUUUGUAAACAAUCUUGAAUCCUGAACCUUGGGGAUAAUAACACGACUAACCAUAUUAUCUAUGCCACUUGAUUUCAUCAACUCCUACAAUGUCACCCUCAUUCUCCUCUGGAAUAAAGAUCCAACUCGGCCAACCUCUUCCUAUGACUCGGCCCUCUAGUCCAGGCAGCAUCUUCAGCAAUCUCGUCUGCACCCGAUCCAACUUGAUAGUAUCUUUCCUGCAGCAGGGUCAACACAACUGUACAGAAUACUCUGUGUCGCCACACCAACAAUAUAAUGCCCAUAAUCCGGAAUUCAAUGCCCUAACUGAUGAAGGCCAGCAUGACUAAAUCCUUCUUUUCCACCCUCUAUACUUGCACGUCCAGUUUCAGUGACUGUACUCUUGUACUCCCAGGUUGCUCUGUUCCACAACACUUGUUGUGUUCCCAUUCACUACACCAGUCUCACCUAGUUUGACUGUCCAAAAUGCACCAUCGCUCACUUGUCCAAGUUGAAAACCAUUUGGCAUUGCUCAGCCCAUCUCCAUAACUGACCAAGAUGUCUUUGAAAUUCAUUGUCACCUGUUGCCUGAUAAGCCGGUCUCCCGAAUUUAGUCUCCCUGUCUGCACAUGACUGUGUCGCCACCCACAGCUCUCAUCUGCUAAUUAAGUUUGUCGACGACACCGCAUAGAUUGGCCUCCUCUCAAGCAAUAACGAGGUGGCCUACAGGGAAGAGGUCAUCUCUCUGACACAGUGGUGGCAAAGUAACAACCUUCCUCUCAAUGUCGCAAAAACAAAGGAGCUGGUUGUGAAUUACAGGAGGAAUGGAGACAGACUAACCCCUAUUGACAUCAAUGGAUCUGGGGUUGAGAGGGUGAACAGUUUUAAGUUCCUCGGCAUCCACAUCACCGAGGAUCUCACGUGGUCUGUUCACAUCAGCUGUGCGGUGAAAAAGGCACAAGAACACGUCUUUCACCUCAGACGGUUGAGGAAGUUCGGUAUCGGCCCCCAAAUCCUAAGAACUUUCUACAGGGGCAUAACUGAGAGCAUCCUGACUGGCUUCAUCACUAUCUGGUAUGGGAACUUUACUUCACUCAAUUGCAGGACUCUGCAGAGAGUGGUGCGGAGAGCCCGGCGUAUCUGCAGUUGUGAACUUCCCA